rnacentral:rRNA from 1 species
AUUGAACGCUGGCGGCAGGCCUAACACAUGCAAGUCGAGCGGUAGAGAGAAGCUUGCUUCUCUUGAGAGCGGCGGACGGGUGAGUAAUGCCUAGGAAUCUGCCUAGUGGUGGGGGAUAACGUUCGGAAACGGACGCUAAUACCGCAUACGUCCUACGGGAGAAAGCGGGGGAUCUUCGGACCUCGCGCCAUUAGAUGAGCCUAGGUCGGAUUAGCUAGUUGGUGAGGUAAUGGCUCACCAAGGCGACGAUCCGUAACUGGUCUGAGAGGAUGAUCAGUCACACUGGAACUGAGACACGGUCCAGACUCCUACGGGAGGCAGCAGUGGGGAAUAUUGGACAAUGGGCGAAAGCCUGAUCCAGCCAUGCCGCGUGUGUGAAGAAGGUCUUCGGAUUGUAAAGCACUUUAAGUUGGGAGGAAGGGUAGUAACCUAAUACGUUGCUACUUUGACGUUACCGACAGAAUAAGCACCGGCUAACUUCGUGCCAGCCGCCGCCGCGGUAA